CAGUUUUGGGAGAGUGUACUAGUCCUGGCUGCUUGGAGGUCAGGGGAAGUCCCCAGGGUAGCAAGGAAUGGGUCACACCAUGCUUGGUGCUUUCCUAGCAUCCCCACCUUGGCUGGCCAGGCACUGCACUGUGGAGCAGGGGGUGUAUGGAGUAAACCUGGCUUGGAGAGGGGACAGAGCACACCUGAGGGAAGUGGCACAGGAGAAAAUACAUGUUGGGUCUUGCUGUGGCUGCUGCUGUCUGGUUCUCCCUGGAACUGGACCCUGCCCGCUGUGCUGGUGAGCCCUGGCCCCAUUUGCAUCCUGCAGCCCGGGACAGCCGAGCCCUCUCCCCAGAUGCAGACUGGUGGAAAAUCUUGACAGAGGAAUGGAGCAGCUUUCCUACAUCUAGUACCUGUCUGCAGAGCAGAGGAUGUGAAAGAUGGAUGUCAGGAGCUCGCCUUGUUUAGCCAAGGAUGCUUAUCUUCCCAUAGCACCUAAGAUGCUUCUGAUCCCACAAGAAUAUAUAUAAAGAUCAGUGAAAUGUCACUGAUCUGCAUUAAUCAUAUCUGGAUUGCUACUUCUUAGGCCCUUUCCCUCCUCCUUUCCUUACAUGGAGCCCAGCAUCAUCUAGCCACUUGGCUAGUGGUGGGCAGCCUGUGUCUCAGUGCUGCACGUGCCCUUUUGGAGUCACCUGAGUCCCACGAGCCAGCCGAUGUCCCAGAGGGAUGCAGCAGAGCCAGCACAUGUCACCACUGAUGUCUCAAUGGCUACAAAGUGCCGCUAAUUGGAGGAGCUGGAAUGCACACAAACUCCGUGGGCUGAACUCGCAUCCUUGUGCAAAUUGAAUUACAAGCAGGAAUAAGUCUAAUUGCACCAGACAGCAAUUAGGAGGGCUUCACUGUCAGGAGACAGCUGCCUGGUGCUGGGCUGGGGAAGUUGCUUUCCUCCUGUGGGAGGGGACCCGUGUGUGCCCAGAGCUGCUGGGGGGGCUUGGGGGGUGUUUGGGUGCACACCUGGUGAUGCCCCCACAAAGCACACCCACCACAGAGCCCAUACCCUGUCCCUGUCUAUAUUUGGCUAAUCACUCACCCAGGGCAUGACCAUGCUCAGUCCCAGGUGCAGAUGAGGGACAGGUUAUUUCUUGGCUCUGGGACCCCAGACAUCUGUUGUAGCCACCUAAUUCCUUUCCACAGGCUCAUUACUGUGUUAGCCAAACACCAUGAGCUCUGUCCUGUGUCUCCCUCAGGGAGCCCCUGAGAAACAAGGUGCUGCCUCCAGCCCUUCUGCAGGUCUGGGUGGCUGGGGCUGUUCCAUGUGCCUGGUCUCAUAAGGGAUGUCUGGGCUAAAGCAUCGCCUGUCUUCUGUGCCCUGCACCCAAAUUGUCUGCUCCAGGGGACACUAUGGGGACAUCAAUGAGCAGAGCUGGGCGGUUCUGAGCCUCCGGGCACCUGACUUGUGGCCGUUCAUAUGUGAAGGAUUUGGGUCUGAGUUGCCCAGUGUGGAGGCUCUAGAAACCUCUUCCUCCAAAUUGGCUGAGGAUUUGUAAGAGCCGUACCCCAAUCUCCUUGUUCAAGCUUUAAUAACAUAGGGAAUUAGUGGUAAAGUAUUGGAUGAUUUAAAAAUAAUAAAAUAUUCCUGUAGUAAAGCUUGCUUGCUUGCUUUUUUUUUUUUUUUUUAAAAAAAAAAAAGAGUAGUUGAUUGUACUUUGAUUAAGCAUGGGAGAAGUUGUGUAUAUAAAACAUCCCUUUGGACAUUUUGUUACUGUAACCACCAUAAUAAAAGUUUGGUUUAUGUAA